UCUCUAACGCGUCGCUCACUCAGUUCAUAUGUGGUUCUUCUUGGUGGCUCUCCUAUUGACUGGAAGACUAAGUAACAGGACACAGUCUCUCACUCGUUAGCUGAAACUGAAUAUCGUGCAAUGGCAGCAGCAGUUCGCGAAAUGAAGUGGAUUGUUCCUCUUGUCAAAGACCUCGGCAUUACACCAUCCACGCCCGUGCCAUUUUAUUGUGAUAGUCAGGCUGCAAUUCACAUUGCAUCAAAUCCUGUGUUUCACGAACGCACUAAGCAUAUUGAACGGGACUGUCAUAGCGUCUGCGAUGCUGCCAAAGCGGAUCUCAUCACAAUGCGUCAUGUUCGUACAAAGGAUCAACUAGCUGACAUCCUUACCAAAGCCCUUGGUCGACCUCAGUUUGAGUUCUUAUUGUCCAAGUUGGGAGUUCAGAAUCUUCACUCUCCAACUUGAGGGGGAGUAUUAGGAUCAUAUUGAAUAUUCCCAUUGUUAAGAUAAGGAUAACUUCCAUUAUGUUAGGGAUAUUUCCUAUUCUUGUUUCAUGAAGAUCUUCCUUUUCGGUUGUAUAUAUACAUUGUAAACCCUAUUCUUGUUCAAUAAGAAAGUGUUUCUUACAUCACGAGUCCUUAGUUUACAUAAGCUUCGGUUUUUGUCUAUCUAAUACACUAAUCCUAGCAUUUACAUAGUUUGUACCACUUCUCCCACUCUCUCCGAUAAAUCCAAGGUCACCGCUUCAACUCCGCCUAUAAAUGUGUUUGUUGCCUGCGAUGCACAGACUCACCGCUCGGAAAUCAGAAAUGAAAAUAUCUUUGAAGCAUCAACACCCACCAUGGCGAUUUUGUUACUGCUUUUCUCCUUUUUAGUUGAUCAAAUCUUUAUUUCUGGAUAGCGAUCAUUCCAAAAGUUAUAUCCAAGACACUUGGUGGGCAUGCUCGCCGAGUCUAUGUUGGUGGAUUUUCACCUGCGGCAAAUGAACAGGUUAGUAUCCACUUUUUUUUUCCCAGUGUUUGAUACUAACAUUGAUUUACUUUCCUAUGUUGCAGGUAGUGGCUACAUUAUUUAGUCAAGUUAUGACUGCUGUUGGUGGAAACACUGCUGGUCCAGUUGAUGCUGUUGUUAAUGUUUAUGUAAACCAUGAGAAGUUUGCUUUUGUGGAGAUGCGAUCUUUUGAAGAGGCAAGUAACACAAUGUCUUUGGAUGGCAUGAUAUUUGAGAUAUUGCGUGCGCUGCGGCGUCAAAAUGGGAGAUAACACUCUUACUGUGAGACGUGCGAAUCAAGGAAUAACGCAACAUCAACCUGAACAAGAGAGUAUAUUGUUGCAUGCACAACAGCAGAUUGCUUUUCAGGUGCGUGGACAAAUGUUGUGAUUCCGCGUCCUAUCCCCAGCGGUGAGCCAGUUGCAGGCCUUGGCAAGUUAAUAUAUAGGGUAUAAGCGACAUAAAGAAGCUCUCAAGUAUCUUAAAGAUUUCAAGUGGAAUAGGGUUGAAGAACCAAAAGAGUUCACACUUGAGCUAUUCUUUGUGGCUUAUUGCACUGAAGAACAACGAGAUUGUCGGCUUCGAGAACUCUUACUACCAGAACACUGUCUUCACCAAGACAUAUCACAUGAUUGAUAAAUAUAAGCUUAUCUCGAGAAGGUCAUUGGGU